GCUGCGCCCGCCCCUGGGAGGAGCCCUUGGCUGUGCUCGUCGCCGGGGAAUGUGGCCUCCGAACAGCUCCCCAGAGGCAAUCUGAGCCCUGGCUAGGAAGGUGACAGUCAGACGGAGUAAGCGUCGUCUUCAGACCGAGUGGCAGAAGGUCCCCGCCUUUGUGGUGCAGACGAGGAGGGCGCAGGACACUCCGGGCGGCGCGCGCCCAGGACGAAGUUUCCCAUCAGCUUCUCCGUAACUUUCCUCCCGCUUCGAGCUCGGCGCGGGAUGGUUGGACCCCUCCGAAGACCCCCUUGCUGACGGGGGAGGUAUGCCGAGAAAGACGUACGUGCUAAGGAGUCCCCGCCCGGGCGCCCUGCGUUCCUGUUUCCAAGUGAAAGCCAUCUCCGUGGAUGCUGCCCGGUGACAAGGAGAGAUGGAAAAUGUCAAGGAUGGGACUUUAUAGAACCCUUUGCACACAGUAGAAUGUGAUGAAGUUUCUCAGUAAAAGGCACAUUUUAUAAGCAGAAUAUAAAUAUUCAGUGUCUUGGCCUUGGACCCACGACUGCGUUCCAGUGGCCGGGCAGCCCCGCACCUGCCCCACGCAGCCUCUGCCUGGUUCCUCCGAGACUCCUGGGCUCCAGCCCUGCCCAGCCCAUUAUUCACAGACGUGUCUCCUGUGGCCAUGGAAAACUGUUCCACGGAGCUUCCUGUAGGGAUAUUUUGGGACUGAGAACCUUGGCUUUUGAUUUUUUUUUUUUUCCCCUCUACCUUGCAUAACAGCUCUGAUUCCUAAUUCCCUUGGAGUCUCUCUCCUCGCCUGCUGCUCUUCGGGCUGAAAAAUAAAGUCUCUUUUGGCAUCUCA